rnacentral:misc_RNA from 1 species
GCAAGCGUGGUCAAUUUGCACCCCAAUCUACUUUUCAGUGAUAAUUAUUAAGUACAUACAAUUGAAAAAUAAAUUUUUGGUCAUCGGAAAUCAUGAGUGAAAGUGAAGAACUCAAUGCCUCGGAGUUGGGAACAUUGGAUUACUGGGAAAAGAUUUAUGACCGUGAAAUAGAAAAUUUUAAAGAUCACGGGGAUGUCGGUGAAGUCUGGUUUGGUGAGCAAAAUGCUCGUAAAGUUGUCAGGUACAUCAGCAAAGAACUUGACUUAUCACCAACCGAUAAAAUUGUGGAUAUCGGCUGUGGUAACGGUUGGACGUUAAUAGAGUUAUCCAAAAAUGGUUUCACUCAGCUUACAGGAAUAGAUUACUCUGAAAAAGCUGUUGAUCUUGCCUCCAAGAUAUUGCAAGACAGCAGUGAAGUUCCUUCUUCUACCAUUAAUUUGAUGGUUUGCGACAUUCUUGAUAUCGAGAGCAGCUCGUUGGCGAAUGAUUUCAAAUUAAUUCAUGACAAAGGAACUUAUGAUGCCAUAAGCUUGAACCCUGAUGAUCCUCAAGGUCAGAGAACGAAGUACAUAAAAAAUGUUUGCAAUAUUCUCAGGCCAGAUGGAUAUCUCGUUAUUUCAUCGUGCAAUUGGACCAAGGAUGAGCUGAUAACACAUUUCCAGGGCGAUUUCCAAUAGGAAAAAAAUGUUCUAAAUUUUCGGGGGGAUGUUCCGCUUUGCCCUGCUCUCCCCUCUAUAUACUGUAUACGUGAACAAUGCAGGGACUAACUUGCUCGAUGACGAACUGAGAACCUACUCAGACAGUGGAAGACCGGAUUUUCAAUGCAUGGUGAAAUAUUUUCCGUUAAUAUACGAAAAACGCGUGUUGGUGUAAAUGUAUCUUGGUUUGCGGUUCUCGUACGCCGAAACUAUUGAUUUUACGAAAAAAAUGACUUUGACGUCGUUUGCAGUUUGCAUACACCCGCAUUUUCAUUCGGUGGAAAAGUUGGCGAAUCCUUGGCCUGCGUCGUAUUCC